CCUACGGGCGGCAGCAGUGAGGAAUAUUGGUCAAUGGACGAGAGUCUGAACCAGCCAAGUAGCGUGAAGGAUGACUGCCCUAUGGGUUGUAAACUUCUUUUAUAUGGGAAUAAAAUGUUCCACGUGUGGGAUUUUGUAUGUACCAUAUGAAUAAGGAUCGGCUAACUCCGUGCCAUCAGCCGCGGUAAUACGGAGGAUCCGAGCGUUAUCCGGAUUUAUUGGGUUUAAAGGGAGCGUAGGUGGAUUGUUAAGUCAGUUGUGAAAUUUUGCGGCUCAACCGUAAAAUUGCAGUUGAAACUGGCAGUCUUGAGUACAGUAGAGGUGGGCGGAAUUCGUGGUGUAGCGGUGAAAUGCUUAGAUAUCACGAAGAACUCCGAUUGCGAAGGCAGCUCACUGGACUGCAACUGACACUGAGGCUCGAAAGUGUGGGUAUCAAACAGGAUUAGAUACCCGGGUAGUC
rnacentral:rRNA from 1 species